AACGAACGCUGGCGGCAGGCUUAACACAUGCAAGUCGAACGCCCCGCAAGGGGAGCGGCAGACGGGUGAGUAACGCGUGGGAACGUACCUUGCAGUUCGGAAUAACUCAGGGAAACUUGUGCUAAUACCGGAUACGCUCGAAAGAGGAAAGAUUAAUCGCUGAAAGAUCGGCCCGCGUUGGAUUAGCUAGUUGGUGGGGUAAUGGCCUACCAAGGCGACGAUCCAUAGCUGGUCUGAGAGGAUGAUCAGCCACACUGGGACUGAGACACGGCCCAGACUCCUACGGGAGGCAGCAGUGGGGAAUAUUGGGCAAUGGGCGAAAGCCUGAUCCAGCCAUGCCGCGUGAGUGAUGAAGGCCCUAGGGUUGUAAAGCUCUUUCACCGAUGAAGAUAAUGACGGUAGUCGGAGAAGAAGCCCCGGCUAACUUCGUGCCAGCAGCCGCAGUA
rnacentral:rRNA from 1 species